AUAGUGUUACCUUCACUGCAUAGCAGUAUAUAAACACGUAUCAUCAGAUCCCCUUGUGACUCAGGCGAGUCAGGCUACAGAGGGCAGCUGCGCUCUGCUGGGGGCUCGGCUGUGGAGCAGGAAGAGGCCCAUGAACUCUGCUCUCCUCUUGCUUGGCGCACUGGCCUGACCUGCACUCAGCGGCCACAACCUUCCAUUACAGCUUCCUCGGGGCCCAGAUAUUGUUCUCAU
rnacentral:lncRNA from 1 species